rnacentral:rRNA from 1 species
GACGAACGCUGGCGGCGUGCUUAACACAUGCAAGUCGAACGAAGUGGCGAACGGGUGAGUAACGCGUAAUCAACCUGCCCUUCAGAGGGGGAUAACAGUUGGAAACGACUGCUAAUACCGCAUAGUGAAGGCGGGGAUUGCGUCUGAUUGGCUAGUUGGCGGGGUAACGGCCCACCAAGGCGAUGAUCAGUCGCCGGUCUGAGAGGAUGAACGGCCACAGUGGGACUUGGACACGGCCCAGCACCCUCCGGUAGGCAGCAGUGGGGAAUCGUCCGCAAUAGAGGAAAGUCUGACGGAGCAACGCCCCGUGAGUGAUGACGGCCGUCGGGUUGUAAAGCUCUGUUAGUCGGGACGCGGUACCGGAAUAGAAAGCCACUGCUAACUCCGUGCCAGCAGCCGCGGUAAUAC